rnacentral:sRNA from 1 species
ACUGGGCACAGUGGCACAUGCCUGUAAUCCCAGCUACAUGGGAGGUUGAGGCAAGAUUAUAGAAAUUAAUUAUAUGUUCUAUGAUUCUAUUUCAUAGAACAUAUAAUUAUGUUCUAUGAAACGUAAGUU